rnacentral:misc_RNA from 1 species
AAAAAAUUUUGGUCUUCCAUCCCUCUUUUUAGUUCAUUUCAGAAAUACUGUAAAAGAUGCCAGUUUUAUUGCAUAUUUUCUGGCUUAAACAGAGCUUUACAUUGCACAACCACAGGGUUUUAUAAUCAUUUAGGAAAUAAAAAGAAUGGAUGAAAAGGCUAAAAUAACAAAUUAUGGGCAUUGCACUCAACAUAUAGAUAACUGCUAAAUUAAACCUGAAGGAGGAACAGCUAAUGCUGACCAGGAAAAAGUAUGUUGAGAUUUGGAAAAUUAGAUGGGGGUAGGGGGAGGUUUAAGUCAUAUGAUGAAAAGAUCCACUAUUCUCCCCUUGAAGAGUAUUCUGACUUGUGAAUGUUCUUCCAAAUUAUUUAUAGAACCACAAGGAAUCGAGAUUCUGUGAAAUAUGAAAUCUUCAUUCAGGCCCAAGUUUAUAUCUAGCUUUCUAUUAAAGGAGUUGGAACAUUCUGAACAAAUUAAAUGUGGCAGAUAUUGAUCUAAUUUGGGCCUAAUAAUAGGACCUAGUAAUGGUCUGAAUCUAUGUCUUGGCCUUUAAGGCAUGGAAUUAAGGAUAUCCCACUUCUUAGUUCUUGAAAUAUAUGUUGCUUUUUUGGACUGAAUAUUGGAAAAGGAAACACACAGAGAGAAGCUCUCAAAUGCUCAAUU